rnacentral:tRNA from 1 species
GCCUGGGUGGCUCAGUCGGUUGAGUGUCUGACUUUGGCCCACGAUCUCAUGGUUCGUGGGUUCGAGUCCCGCAUUGGGCU